rnacentral:lncRNA from 13 species
AUGACUGAAGUGGUAGCAGGGAACACGUGGCAAAGCUCUGAAAGAACAAUAAAACAUAUCCUUACUGUAAAACUCUUACAGAUUAGUCAGAACAAGACUACCUCCUCAAACAAACAAUCAGAAGUAAUCAGUCAUCAAUUUCACAGUCAGUGCACAGGUGCUGCACAUGAGCUAAUCAAAUCACUCAAUCUUAUUUAUCCACCAUCUUUGAUGUACCUCCACUUCAUCCACCCUCUUGGCAGGAGGAGGGGGAGUCUGGAAACACAGCCUGUCUUUAGUGGAGUCUGUCUUGACCAUGUAAAAUACACAGAGUUUCUAUUGUCUUGUGGAUUUUUGAAGAAAUUAUCGCUGAAGGAAUUCAAUCCCGGGAACCAGCAAGACACCCAUCACACCACAGGAGGUGGUGCUACCUUACUCGGGGAGAAAGGGUCGAGAGACAUCCAAGGACUGCCGUUGAGUUCCCUGGCGCACAGAAAUUCUAAUCUUCAACCUGUGAGGACAGAUAGGGACACCGGAAUCAUUCCAAACAACUCAGGUGAGGUUAAAGCGGCAAUCGGCAGUAGAAACAAUAUCCAAAAGUCAGCGCCGCCCCUGUUCCGGUAAAAAUCUGAGGGAUGGGGUUAGAAAUGUAGCUACUGAAAUUAAGACAGAGCUAUGAGUGCAAGGACUUACCAUCCGUGAUUUCAAAAUUAUAGAUUUAACCUAUAUGAUUUGAGGCUAUAUAUUGUUUACAUUUACUUUGUAUGCAAACAUUAGCGUAAAACAAGUUUAUGUUUGGUUCUGAUGGGAUACAACAGUUGAACUAAGCGCAUGAGGCAUUUAUAAAUUAUAUUAGCCAAGAACCUACAGUGCCUUGCGAAAGUAUUCAUCCCCUUUGGCAUUUUACCCAUUUUGUUGCCUUACAACCUGGAAUUAAAAUAUAUAUUUUUUGAGGGAUUGUAUCAUUUGAUUUACACAACAUGCCUACCACUUUGAAGAUGCAAAAUAUUUUUUAUUGUGAAACAAACAAGAAAUAAGACAAAAAAACUCAACUUGAAUGUGCAUAACUAUUCCNNNNNNNNNNNNNNNNNNNNNNNNNNNNNNNNNNNNNNNNNNNNNNNNNNNNNNNNNNNNNNNNNNNNNNNNNNNNNNNNNNNNNNNNNNNNNNNNNNNNNNNNNNNNCUUUUGCCCUCAGAACAACCUCAAUUCGUCGGAGCAUGGACUACAAUGUGUUGAAAGCGUUCCACAGGGAUACUGGCCCAUGUUGACUGCAAUACUUCCCACAGUUGUGUCAAGUUGGCUGGACGUCCUUUGAGUGGUGGACCAUUCUUGAUACGCAUGGAAACUGUUGAGCGUUAAAAACCCAGCAGUGUUGCAGUUCUUGACACACUCAAACUAGUGCGUCUUGCACCUACUACCAUAACCCGUUUAAAGGCACUUAAAUAUUUGAUCUUGCCCAUUCACCCUCUGAAUGGCACACAUACACAGUCCAGGUCUNNNNNNNNNNNNNNNNNNNNNNNNNNNNNNNNNNNNNNNNNNNNNNNNNNNNNNNNNNNNNNNNNNNNNNNCCCCCCCCCCCCCAAAAAAAGUCAAUAUUGUAGAGCCACCUUUUGCAGCAAUUACAGCUGCAAGUCUCUUGGGAUAUGUCUCUAUGUUUGGCACAUCUAGCCAAUGGGAUUUUUUCCCAUUCUUCAAGGCAAAACUUCUCCAGCUCCUUCAAGUUGGAUGGGUUCCGCUGGUGUACAGCAAUCUAAGUCCUACCACAGAUUAUCAAUUUGAUUGAGGUCUGGGCUUUGACUAGGCCAUUCCAAGACUCUCAAAUGUUUCCCCUUAAACCACUCGAAUGUUGCUUUAGCAACAGACUGAAACAGGUUCCCAUCAUGAAUUUCCCUGUAUUUAGCACCAUCCAUCAUUCCUUCAAUUCUGACCAGUUUCCCACCCAGUCCCUGCCAAUGAAAUACAUCCCCACAGCAUGAUGCUGCCACCACCAUGCUUCACUGUGGGAAUGUGUCCUCAGGGUGAUGCGAGGUGUUGGGUUUGUGCCACACACAGCCUUUUCCUUGAUGGCCAAAAAGCUACAGUUUAAUCGCAUCUGACCACAGUACCUUCUUCCAUAUGUUUGGAGAGUCUCCCACAUGCCUUUUGGAAAACACCAAACAUUUUUUUCUUAAUGCAAUGUAUUUUUUAUGGCCACACUGUACUUUUGUUUAUCCGAUGUGUAACUGUUGUUGUUUUGUCACACUGCUUUGCUUUUAUAUUGGCCAGGUCGCAGUUCUAAAUGAGAACUUGUUCUCAACUGGCCUACCUGGUUAAAUAAAGGUGAAAUAAAUAAAAUAAAAAAGCCCAGCUCUGUGGAGUGUAUGGCUUAAAGUGGUCCUAUGGACAGAUACUCCAAUCUCCGCUGUGGAGCUUUGCAGCUCCUUCAGGGUUAUAUUUGGUCUCUUUGUUGCCUCUCUGAUUAAUGCCCUCCUAGCCUGGUCUGUGAGUUUUGGUGGGUGGCCCUCUCAUGACAGGUUUGUUGUGGUGCCAUAUUUUUUUCAAUUUCUUAAUAAUGGAUUUAAUGGUGCUCUGUUGCAGACUCUGGGGCCUUUCAGAACAGGUGUAUGUAUAUGUGUGUAUAUGUAUGUAUGUGUGUGUGUGUGUAUAUAUGUGUGUGUACAUAUAUACACAUAUAUAUAUAUAUAUAUACACACACAUACAUACAGUGCCUUGCGAAAGUAUUCGGCCCCCUUGAACUUUGCGACCUUUUGACACAUUUCAGGCUUUAAACAUAAAGAUAUAAAACUGCAUUUUUUUGUGAAGAAUCAACAACAAGUGGGACACAAUCAUGAAGUGGAACAAAAUUUAUUGGAUAUUUCAAACUUUUUUAACAAAUCAAAAACUGAAAAAUUGGGCGUGCAAAAUUAUUCAGCCCCCUUAAGUUAAUACUUUGUAGCGCCACCUUUUGCUGCGAUUACAACUAUAAGUCGCUUGGGGUAUGUCUCUAUCAGUUUUGCACAUCGAGAGACUGAAAUUUUUUCCCAUUCCUCCUUGCAAAACAGCUCGAGCUCAGUGAGGUUGGAUGGAGAGCAUUUGUGAACAGCAGUUUUCAGUUCUUUCCACAGAUUCUCGAUUGGAUUCAGGUCUGGACUUUGACUUGGCCAUUCUAACACCUGGAUAAGUUUUAUUUUUGAACCAUUCCAUUGUAGAUUUUGCUUUAUGUUUUGGAUCAUUGUCUUGUUGGAAGACAAAUCUCCGUCCCAGUCUCAGGUCUUUUGCAGACUCCAUCAGGUAGCCAGCUCUAGGAAGAAUCUUGGUGGUUCCAAACUUCUUCCAUUUAAGAAUGAUGGAGGCCACUGUGUUCUUGGGGACACUACUGCAGACAUUUCUUCCCCAGAUCUGUGCCUCGACACAAUCCUGUCUCGGAGCUCUAGGGACAAUCCCUUCAACAUCUUGGCUUGGUUUUUGCUCUGACAUGCACUGUCAACUGUGGGACCUUAUAUAGACGGGUGUGUGCCUUUCCAAAUCAUGUCCAAUCAAUUGAAUUUACCACAGGUGGACUCCAAUCAAGGUGUAGAAACAUCUCAAGGAUGAUCAAUGGAAACAGGAUGCACCUGACCUCAAUUUCAUGUUUCAUAGCAAAGGGUCUGAAUAUUUAUGGAAAGGUAUUUCUGUUUUAUUUUUUAAUAGAUUUGCACAUUUAAAAAAAAAAAAACUGUUUUUGUUUUGUCAUUAUGAGGCAUUGUGUGUAGAUUGUAGAAAACGUCAAGGGGUCUGAAUACUUUCCAAAGGCACUGUAUCACCUUCCCACUUGGUUAUGAACACAACAUAAGCACCAUGUGCGUGUAUGAUAGAUAGACACACUGUGAAGGCUAGUAUAAUGUNNNNNNNNNNGGUAGCCAGCUCUAGGAAGAAUCUUGGUGGUUCCAAACUUCUUCCAUUUAAGAAUGAUGGAGGCCACUGUGUUCUUGGGGACACUACUGCAGACAUUUCUUCCCCAGAUCUGUGCCUCGACACAAUCCUGUCUCGGAGCUCUAGGGACAAUCCCUUCAACAUCUUGGCUUGGUUUUUGCUCUGACAUGCACUGUCAACUGUGGGACCUUAUAUAGACGGGUGUGUGCCUUUCCAAAUCAUGUCCAAUCAAUUGAAUUUACCACAGGUGGACUCCAAUCAAGGUGUAGAAACAUCUCAAGGAUGAUCAAUGGAAACAGGAUGCACCUGACCUCAAUUUCAUGUUUCAUAGCAAAGGGUCUGAAUAUUUAUGGAAAGGUAUUUCUGUUUUAUUUUUUAAUAGAUUUGCACAUUUAAAAAAAAAAAAACUGUUUUUGUUUUGUCAUUAUGAGGCAUUGUGUGUAGAUUGUAGAAAACGUCAAGGGGUCUGAAUACUUUCCAAAGGCACUGUAUCACCUUCCCACUUGGUUAUGAACACAACAUAAGCACCAUGUGCGUGUAUGAUAGAUAGACACAC